rnacentral:lncRNA from 1 species
UUCGUCAUACUGAAGACCACGGUUCGGUGACACAUAAAGGCAUUCUAAGUGACUCGGCCGUGAUAUUGCUGAGACAGAUAUAGUCAGCGGCGUAAAACAAUAUUCACAACCUCCUUAAGUUCUCAAAAUCAUAUCAUGUCCACAGGGCCACUACCAGAGUGAGUGAUUAGACCUGACCCUCCACCAGGCUGGUCAGGACUACUCCCGUGGAGAAAGCCUCGAGAUCUCGAGGAGCACAGUUACAGGAAUGAGAUUCAUUCAGCAGACGGUCGCGUUUGUCUUCGUGUGGCUAUGUGCCCGGAUGUGUGACGGAGCCUCUCUUUCAUCGGGAGGGCCACAUGGCAUCCAGGCAGCAAUCCGACAUCACGACACAGCGUUGUUGCUACAGCUACUUCAACACUUCCGUUCAGCCGCCAGUGACGACAAACGCGAUGGUGCAACGGCCUUCUGCCAGACGGACGAGUGUGUGAAGAUGAUGGAAGAGUACAACACCUACCUCCUCAACAAUGGCGGAGGGACAUUCUCUGGAAGGUGGGGUUAGUUGCCGUGGCAUCUGACACCUGGGACCAGUCACUGAAUAAAAUCUCUGAUUCAAAAGACGAGGAAAUGACUUGUCCUAAACCAUAGACAACACUGGAUGACCCAAUAUUGAAAUUGGGCUGAUACCUUUAUGCUUAUGUUCAAAGUGUCUUCGUUUGCUUUUGUCGUCUCAGAACCAAAGUGAAUACACUAUUUCUGUAACGAAUACAAGAAACAUGUUUUCAAAGUCGACAGUCGUACGUGAUACGAACUGUAUGUGUCGGGGUCUGGCGGUACAGACAAAAUAAUAUAACGACUUCUGUGCCUUCUGUGGGUAGCGGCAUCUCACGACAAUACUCGAUUGAAGUCCAAAGUUUGGUUCUGACGGACACUAUCUGCAUGUUAGUAUCGACAUGUGCCCUUGUGUAAUACAAUAGCCAUUAGCCAGUAAUAACGUGGCGCCUCCUUACAAGGUGGGAGAAACGAGUUACCUUCCUUGAAAUUCAUGUCACCACCCAGUGCCUUUUGUGCGUUUUCUGGUAUGGUUUGGAAGUGAGCGACUGAGCAUAAGAAAAGAGAACAAAGCAUUUCUUUUCCUUCAUAUAACCUUGGUUCGUAAACAAGCGAAACACGAAGGAAGCUGCAAAACAGCCAGAUAUUUAUAGGACAUCCGGGUGGUCACUCGUAUGCACUGAGACACGACUUUGGACACCUGGUCACGCCAAUUUGUGAAACUUCAGUGCCCGAAAGCAAUUGCUUUUACAUUAUGACCCACGCAGAAUCAGUUGAACAUUAUAUGCAGGUGUAUGACUUAAUAUAAAUUCCCGGGCGAAAGAAAGUAUACACUUGAAAAUUGAAAUUGACCAAAUAAUUACAAACGUUAUCAAGCCGUUACUAGGCUGAAAACAGCAGCAAAAAUACUGCAAAAUAGAGGUUCAACCCAUAACUAUCGUAUCUGUGUCAAAUACAUCACCAUCGAAUAAUCAUUUCGUGUUUGUUUCUUUUUUAGCCAGCAUCAAACGUGGCGUAUACUUUCUGUCGUCCUGCACUUUACAUUCAUUCUGUUUCAAACAUGAAUAUAUCUGCGAAAAUCCGGGUUAGAACUGGUCUUCAGCAACCCAUGCUUGUCGUAAAAGGCGACUAAAGGGAUCUGGUGGUCAGACUCGCUGACUUGGUUGAUGCAUGUCAGCGUAUCCCA